GACGAACGCUGGCGGCGUGCUUAACACAUGCAAGUCGAACGGAAAGGCCCUGCUUUUGUGGGGUGCUCGAGUGGCGAACGGGUGAGUAACACGUGAGUAACCUGCCCUUGACUUUGGGAUAACUUCAGGAAACUGGGGCUAAUACCGGAUAGGAGCUCCUGCUGCAUGGUGGGGGUUGGAAAGUUUCGGCGGGUGGGGAUGGACUGGCGGCUUAUCAGCUUGUUGGUGGGGUAGUGGCUUACCAAGGCUUUGACGGGUAGCCGGCCUGAGAGGGGGACCGGCCACAUGGGGACUGAGAGACGGCCCAGAGUCCUACGGGAGGCAGCAGUGGGGAAUAUUGCACAAUGGGCGGAAGCCUGAUGCAGCAACGCCGCGUGCGGGAUGACGGCCUUCGGGUUGUAAACCGCUUUCGCCUGUGACGAAGCGUGAGUGACGGUAAUGGGUAAAGAAGCACCGGCUAACUACGUG
rnacentral:rRNA from 1 species